UACGUAGGGGGCAAGCGUUGUCCGGAAUCAUUGGGCGUAAAGCGCGCGUAGGCGGCCAGAUAAGUCCGGUGUGAAAGUCACAGGCUCAACCUGUGAAUGCCGCUGGAAACUGUCUGGCUUGAGUCCGGAAGGGGCGAGUGGAAUUCCUGGUGUAGCGGUGAAAUGCGCAGAUAUCAGGAGGAACACCGAUUGCGAAGGCAGCUCGCUGGAACGUUACUGACGCUGAGACGCGAAAGCGUGGGGAGCAAACAGG
rnacentral:rRNA from 1 species